GAUGAACGCUGGCGGCGUGCCUAACACAUGCAAGUCGAACGGAGAUUACGGACGGAAGUUUUCGGAUGGAAGCCUGUAAUUCUUAGUGGCGGACGGGUGAGUAACGCGUGGGCAACCUGCCCUAUACAGGGGGAUAGCAGCUGGAAACGGCCGGUAAGACCGCAUAAGUCGGUUAAAUCGCAUGAUUUGAUCGGGAAAUGAGCAAUCAGGUAUAGGAUGGGCCCGCGUCCGAUUAGCCAGUUGGCAGGGUAAAAGCCUACCAAAGCGACGAUCGGUAGCCGGACUGAGAGGUCGGACGGCCACAUUGGGACUGAGACACGGCCCAAACUCCUACGGGAGGCAGCAGUGGGGGAUAUUGCACAAUGGAGGAAACUCUGAUGCAGCGACGCCGCGUGAGUGAAGAAGUAUUUCGGUAUGUAAAGCUCUAUCAGCAGGGAAGAUGAUGACGGUACCUGACUAA
rnacentral:rRNA from 1 species